AGCAGCCGCGGUAAUUCCAGCUCCAAUAGCGUAUAUUAAAGUUGUUGCAGUUAAAAAGCUCGUAGUUGAAUUUCGGGAUCAAGGAAUCGGUCAUGCCUUGGUAUGUACUGGUUUUAUUGGUUCUCACCUUCUAAAGAACCAUAACGUCAUUCAUUUGAUGUUAUGGGGAAUUAGGACUGUUACCUUGAAAAAAUUAGAGUGUUUAAAGCAGGCUUACGCUUGAAUACAUUAGCAUGGAAUAAUGAAAUAGGACAUCAGAUUCUAUUUUGUUGGUUUCUAGGAUCGAUGUAAUGAUUAAUAGGGAUAGUUGGGGGCAUUAGUAUUCAAUUGUCAGAGGUGAAAUUCUUGGAUUUAUUGAAGACUAACUACUGCGAAAGCAUUUGCCAAGAAUGUUUUCAUUAAUCAAGAACGAAAGUUAGGGGAUCGAAGACGAUCAGAUACCGUCGUAGUCUUAACCAUAAACUAUGCCGACCUAGGGAUCGGAUGAUGUUUAAUUUUUAAUUGUAACUCAUUCGGCGUC
rnacentral:rRNA from 1 species